rnacentral:rRNA from 1 species
GGUCAAGCUACAAAGGGCGCAUGGUGAAUGCCUUGGCAUCAGGAGCCGAUGAAGGACGCGAUAAGCUGCGAUAAGCUUCGGGUAGACGCACAUAGUCAGAGAUCCGAAGAUUUCCGAAUGAGGAAACUCACAUGGGAAACCCCAUGUAUCGUAAAGUGAAUACAUAGCUUUAUGAAGGUAAACCCAGGGAACUGAAACAUCUAAGUACCUGGAGGAAGAGAAAGAAAAAUCGAUUUUCUUAGUAGCGGCGAGCGAAAGGGAAAGAGCCCAAACCAAAGAUUUAUCUUUGGGGUUGCGGACAGAACAUUAACGAGAAAUUAUGGUUAACCGAACACAACUGGAAAGUUGGACCGUAGGGGGUAAUAGU